AUUGAACGCUGGCGGCAUGCUUUACACAUGCAAGUCGAACGGUAACAGGCCUUCGGGUGCUGACGAGUGGCGAACGGGUGAGUAAAGCAUCGGAACGUGCCCAGAGGUGGGGGAUAACGCAGCGAAAGCUGUGCUAAUACCGCAUGUGAUCUGAGGAUGAAAGCGGGGGACCAGGCAGCAAUGUUUGGCCUCGCGCCUUUGGAGCGGCCGAUGUCAGAUUAGGUAGUUGGUGGGGUAAAGGCCUACCAAGCCGACGAUCUGUAGCUGGUCUGAGAGGACGACCAGCCACACUGGGACUGAGACACGGCCCAGACUCCUACGGGAGGCAGCAGUGGGGAAUUUUGGACAAUGGGCGCAAGCCUGAUCCAGCAAUGCCGCGUGCGGGAAGAAGGCCUUCGGGUUGUAAACCGCUUUUGUACGGAACGAAAAGGCUCUGGCUAAUACCUGGGGCUGAUGACGGUACCGUAAGAAUAAGCACCGGCUAACUACGUG
rnacentral:rRNA from 1 species